rnacentral:lncRNA from 1 species
AGUUAUAUCCCUAAGUCAUAAAGCAGCAGCUGGGCCCAAGAUUCCUGGCAUCCUUCCAAUCUCACCUCCCCCGCCCUAUUUACCCAGGAGCAAAAGAAGCGGAGGGAAGCAACACAGCGCAGCGUGACUACGUGCUUGAUCUGUCUCCUCCUAACGGGCAUGCAGUGAGUACAAAUGAAGUCUGUGGGCCAACAAGGAGCGAGGAGCAGUUUCCUGGAAGCCCUGGGCUGGUGUUUGACUUGCUUUGAGAUAGAAUAAAUGGGAGAAAGAGACUUUAUGGGACAUCUGGGCCUAGGGCUCCUGGAUGCUGUGCUGAAAACACCACGUACAGAAGCCAGUCUAACCUUCUGGAUGAUGAGAGCCCAGAUGCAGUACAGAGGUGCCCCAGCCAACAAUCAGCUGCUAUCUGAAUCCCAUCUGGAUCCCAUCUGAAUCCCAUGUCACCAUGAAUGAGGCCACCUUAGCCCAGCCAGCACAGCUGAAAGCCAGAAGCAGCCGCAUGCACAAGCCCAGGGGAAGCCCACAGAGGAACCACCAGCCAACACACAGAAUUGCAAGCAAACCCCAGCUUUUAAGUUGGUCUCCGCAGAGGACAACUGCAUUCUCCAGCCUCCUGUACAGCAGAGAGUGCCAUGUGACUAAGACCAAGUUCUAACCAGUGGGAUCAAAGCAGGGAAGUGUUGCCUUCUUUGCCCCUUCCUGCUGGCUGGAAUAUGACAAAACGGCUGCAGCAUGAGCAACCUUCUUGGGCCCUGAGGUGGAAGCCACCUGUUGGUUGACCGACCAGAUGGUGGAGUGACCAGAUAGAAGGGGCCUGGUGAUUGUGGAUUCUGCCACACUACCUCUGGUCCCCUAUACCUAUGUGAAAGGAAAAGAAAUGUCUGCCA